UAUCCUUUGUAUUCUGAUUCUCCAUUGCAGAAACUUGAAACUUGUAAGCUUCAACCGUAGCACUGAAAAAAGCAAACAAUAUUGGUUUUCACUUAAGAAGAUCAAACGAUUGGGUAUCUAUGGGGGAAACAAAAAAACUACGAUGGUUGAGUUCACAAAGAACUUCAAUAAAAUCUCCCUUAUAAAAUUUUUAUAAACUUUUCAACAAGAGUUUUGAAAGUUGUUUUAUCAUUAUUAUAUAAUGUAUAUUUAUACGUAUGAAAAUUUAAGUAAUAAUUUUACUUCUACGCAAUUCUUACGAAUUUGGGCCUUGGCAGGCGAAGUUUAUUAGAUUGCGUAUUGAGAAAAGUUUUGGAAAUUGUUUUUACACUAUUAAAUUCUGUUUUCCUGGAAAUUGAACCAGGAUAAUUGUAAAGUCACAAAUUUUAUUGGAUGAAAUACUAAAAUAACUUUUUUUGACAUAUUCUUAUUUUUUAAAAUAAGUUUAGUCGUGUAUUAAGAUAUAUAUAGAAUUUUUUAACAAAAAUAACAUAAUAUUAUAAUUAAUGUAAACAAUUAGAAUCAAUUAUCAUUAUACUGUAACCUUAUAUAUUAACUAUAAAAUUUCAUAAUCUGAUAUUUUUUAAUCAAAGAAAAGAAAUAAGACGAAUUUUGAUACAUUUUUAUUGUUAAAUUUAAAAAUUAAAAGAAUAUAAUAUUUUUAACUCAUUUAGAUUACGGUAUUUGAUAUGAAAAAUACCUUUUAUGUUAAUAUGUAAUUUGUAUGAUUUGAAUUUUUGUUAAUUAAACUGAAUUAAAUAUACUUUUAAUCUUUUUAUAAUUAGAAUCCUUUUAAUUUGAAUUUUGUUACAUUUUGAUUGUUAAAUCUAAAAAUUAAAAAGAUGUGGUCCUUUUAACUUAGGUUAUCUUUUUUAACAUAUCAAACCCAUUUUAUGCUAAUAUAUAAGUUAUUUAUACUAACUAAGAUAUUUUUGCUUUAAUAUUUGUCUGAAAACGUGUUUGACAUUCACGGUGAACCCAUUACCAGAGUUAUAAAUUUUACCCAAAUCGGCAUUCCAACUAUCCAAGCUUGAAUUGAAGGUGUGGCUAAUUUCAGAGAAAUUCAUACAUCAAAAGUCAGUUGUGUAUAGGGUUUCAAACAAAAUAAUAUGAUUAUCAUAAGUCUAAAUGUGAAAUAUACCUUUUAUUACAAUUCUUCUGUGGUUGAGCUUAUUAAUGAGAAUGAGUUUGAAUUUUAAAAAAUUUCCAUUAGGACCAGCAUCCAAAUAAAUAAACAAACAGUGCACAUUAUUCCCAUUUGGAAUAAUAUGAAUCCUCCUAAAAACUUAAUGAGAAAAACAUAUGAAAUAAUAAAAAAAAGGAAAAUGUACAGUACACAAUAAUUUAAUCAAACACCAUUUGUGGCCAUCGAGAGAAAGCGUAUCCGAGUAAUUAUUGUAGAAGCCUAACGAGGAAAAGUUAGUAAUGGUGCACUUAGGAAGAUCAAACGAUUCUUCAUUUCAGUAGCACUGACAAAAACAAACAAUAUUGAUUUUCACCGAGGAAGAUCAAACGAUUGAGUAUCCAUGAGAAAUAAAGAUCUUCAAUGGUUGAAUAAAAUCACACUAUAAAAUAAGUAUUUUCCCAUAUCAAUAUAUCACAAUGCACAAGGAACUCUAAUAUCAAAAACUAAAUGUCACAGUAAGUUAAAUGUUUGUUUUUUUGAAAGAAAGACACAAUUUUAAUGGUAGAAAACCAUAUUUUGUUUCAGAAUAUGAAUUUAGAGAAAUAACUAAUUGGCAGCUUCAUAUGGGUAACAUGAACGAUGGAGCUAAAGAUAGCUAUAUAAAAUAGACAACUAUGGAUAUAAUAAAUACACAAAAUGAAUGACACAAAACCAGCACCUACGACAGCUAUAGGAACUUCAAUAAGAGAUUGUGAUAACAUGAGAGCCAUUGAUGGUUUUCAAAGCUAUAUAAGAACAUUUCCAGUGAAACUUACUCAUAGAUAAAAAUAUUAUUGGAAUCCUUAUUGAGAAAAGUUUUGGAAGUUGUUUUUACAUUAUUGAAUUCUGUUUUCCAAUGUACUGGAAAUUGAACCACACCAGGAUAACCGUAAACGUCACAAAUUUUAAUAACUCUACUUAAUGUAGUCUUUCAGAAAAGUUUAUUCAUUUUCUCCUAUGAAAUAUUGACAUCAUUUUUUUUUUGUUUGGUUUCAGAGUCUUUUAACCUACUCUUAUUUUUUAAAAUAAGUUUAGUCGUGUAUUAAGACAUAUAUAGAAUUUUUAACAAAAUAAAAUAAUAUUAUAAUUAAUGUAAGCAAUAAGAAUCAAUUAUCAUUAACCUUAUAUAUUAACUAUAAAAUUUCACAAUCUAAUAUUUUUUUAAUCAAUGAAAAGAUAUAAGACGAUGGUACAAGAUAAUAGUCAUGUUAUUUAUAAAAAAAUUAAAGUACAAAUAUUUAAGCAAAGGACUAAAAAAAUUAAAAUAUAUAUAUAUAUAUAUAUAUNAUAUAUAUAUAUAUAUAUAUAUAUAUAUAUAUAUAUAUAUAUAUAUAUAUAUAUAACAACUAUGUAUUUUUUAUAAUAUUGAAAAACAAUUUUAAAAGAAAUUACCUGUAACUAUCCUAUCAAAGUCGCUAAUGAUAUGAUAAGUUAAUUCAUAAGUAUACUUAUUGUUACAUUGUCGGUUGACGUUCUUAUUUAACAAGGUAUAGUAAAAUUGAUAUGGAGAAAAAGAUUUAGAGAGUCUCUCGAAUUAAAACGAGUUAAAUAUAUUUUUAAUUUUUUUACAUAAAUUUGAAAUUUGUUUUUAUUUAAAAUUUUGAUAUAUUUACUAGUACAUACAUGAGUCUAGGAUAUAAAUUUGGCUCUAUGAUAAAAAAAAAUAGGAUACAUACAUACAUGAGUAUAAGGUUACAUUAAUGUAAUAAUGAAAGAAUUUUGUUAAUUCAAAAAUAAAAUAGUAAUCAUACUUAAGAACUAAGUUGUGAAGUUUAAUUCCAACAUAUUUUUAUCUUAUUUAGCUUUUCAUCUUAACUUUGAUUUCUUGAUCAUUAUAAUAUUAAUCAAAAACCACUUUGAUUACAAAUUCAUAAUAACAUUAUAGUUUUUUAAUAAGAAUUGAUCAAAUCCUAUAGAUACAAUUUGGUACUAUAAUUGAACGAGUGCACACGCUCUGUUUGCUCAAACAACUUCAAACACGACUUAAUCAUAAAAUUUAAUCAAUUAAUUACAUUUGGAUUAAAAUUGGAUUAUACUAAUAUUUGAACAAAUUUUGUUGAGUUGCUGUUGACGUUGUAUAUUUAAGCUUGAUUAGCCAAACUUUGAAUUCGAACAAAGAAAUAACUAUAUUUCGAUGGGAUAUGAAUGAUUACCGGAUAAAGUUCUAACACUCAUAUAUAUCAAUCCUAGAAAAUAUCUCAUUUUCUCUUUCUUUUCAAAAUGUCUGUUAAUCUUUUUUUGUAUUUCUUUAUUCUUUAUAUAUGAAGAAUUAAUUAUUUAAAUUCGAUUCAUGAACUUGAUCACAAAUUAAGUGUCAAAAUAUUUGGACUGACUUUUUUUUUAUAAUAUUGAAAUUUUUUUCACAGAAGGUAAUGAAUAAUUUGCAUUUAGUUGCAUCAUGAUUCAUUCGUAUGGCGUAAUAUAAGUUUUCUUUGGAAUUCAGCUUCACACACGAAAUAUUACGGAACAUCACCAUUGAUAAUUUGGUUGAUGUACAUGUUUAUUUAAAUUAAUUUCCGAGUUGUGGAUUUUAGUGAUAAAAUAACUCUAUUGAAAUGAGAUAUGAAUGGACACUAAAUGAAGACCUUGGGAAUGACACUUUAAUAUUUAAUAUUUAAGUCAGUAAAAAUAUAUAUUAAAAUAGACCUGAAAAUAAUAAUAGAGGUAUGUAUAAGUUUUUAUACAUAGAGCCAAAUUUGAUAUACUAAGCAAAGGAUGUUGUGAACAUGUACUUUUUAUAACCGUGGAAAUUUUUUUCGUUCCAUAUCCUUAAAACCCACAAGCUCGUCAAAUGCAUUGAACGUUUUCUUAGGUAAAGGUUUAUCAGUAUGUUUCGUAGGUUUAUCCUUAAUCUACUUGAUUAUAUUUCAACUUAUCAUUUUAUAUAAAUCUAUUGUUAGGCUUAUAAAGAUAUGAAUUGUACAAAAUUCUAAACAAUUAUUUUAAAAUAAUAACUCAUUUAUAUUCAUUUGAUACAUAUAUUACUAUCGUAAAAAGGACAUUUUAAUAUUUAAGAAAAUAUAAAAAAAUAAAGAAAAAUAAUGUAAAAUAAAUGUAAAAAAAUUAUGUAUUAAAAUAUUAUUUUUCAUCUCUUUAGCAUGAUAAGUGUUUAUUUCCUUAAAAAAAAGAAACAUACCAAAACUCACUCAAUCACUACAUGGAGGAGAUUUUAUAUGCAUUUGGACCUGAAAUGAUAUCAUAUCACUAUAGAUCUUUUAUCUAUAAUUGCUUUGGUCUACCUCUACAAUUAAUGUAUAGUAAAAGUUUAAGUUAAUAUACUAUGCAUCAUUAAAUAAAUACAUAAAUGAAGCCUUAAAUAUCAAUUUCAUACUCUGGUUCUAUUAAGGAAGAUUAAUUACAUAGUAGCCUCUAUUCAACACAAUAAAUAUAAUAUACUCCAUGACAAAAUUAUCAUAGCAAAUCAGGUCAAACAUGUUCAACAUAAAAAAAAAAUCAUAUCGAUAAAUAGAAGAACAUCUAAAUGUUGAUAAACUUAUAAAAAGAAAACAUGUCCACUACAAUAAAUUAUUGGGCAAACAACAUAAUCAUGAAUUAUGUUUUACCAUACAUAUCUGAGUUGAGCAUCGAAAUCUCAUCCUUCAAAGCCUUCUUUUGCUUGAACUAAGUCUCUUCUUCUUAUUUCUAGAUUUACCUCUGCUUCAAUCAUCUUUGUCGUCAAAUUCUUUAUUUCUUUCUCUAAAAUAGAUACAUUCUCCUCCAUAGUAGCCACAUUCUCUUCCAAAAUUUUCACAACAAAAACUUUUUCAACACAUGUAUUGAUGCCCAAGACAGAUUGUACUUGAGGUUUCAGCCAUGACAAAUCAAAUUCACAUGUCUCCAAUUAGCAGAUUUAAUAUAACCAAAACAAACAAACCGCUAAUAAAAUUCAUUUGUUUUGUAGUGAGUUUACUAAAAAAUUUAAAUGUAAUUGUGCUAUUAAACUCCCCUAAUGACACGAUAAGUUAAUCCUUAGUUAUUAUUACAUCAUCGGUUGACUUUAUAAUCAAACACCUAUACUAAAAGUGGAAAUGAAUAUCACGAGAAAGAAUUGGAGAGAAAAGGUACAUACAUAAAGUGUAACCCCUAUAAUAUCAUUUUUUAUUGUGAUUUUAAAUUAAAUUUAAUAAUAUCAUACUUUUUAUUGUGAUUUCAAAUUUUUUAUAUAAAAUUAUAUUAUUAAUAGUUGGAAAUAAAAAGGUAAAUACAUAAAGUGUAACCCCUAUAGAAAUAUGAAUUGAAAUUAAAAGUUUAUUUCUGUUAAAUACAAACAUGAUAAUAUUAUUUUAAAAUCGAAAAUAAAAUAGAAAAACCCCAUAUCAUCUUAUUGUUUAUGAGGAUGGAUUUGAGAAAAAUAUAAAUGUUUGCUUCCAUAUAUUUCAACUGAUUUGAGAGAGAUUCUAAAAUUUCCAUCCCUUGUGAAUCAUGAAUGAAGUGAUUAAGAGAGAAAAGGUACAUGGACUUCUAAAUUUUUUAUCAUAACUUUUACAUAAAUAUCUCCGUUUCUUUUUUAACUUUACAUAUGCUUUUAAUUAUUAUUAUUAUUAUUAUUAUUAUUAAACUUUGUGGAUAAUUAAUAAUUAUUAUUUUUACAAUUGAUAAUUAUAAUAAUAAUAAUAAUAAUAUUAAUUUUAAUAUUAAAAUUAAUAAUUAUUAUUAUUACAAUAAUAAUAAUAAUUAGAUUUUAUUUUAUAUAAAUGUUAAUCAUAAAAGUAAUCUAAUAAUUAUAUCUACUGUAUAUUUUUUAUCCAUUACAUUAUCAAAUUAUUUACAAAUUCUAUUCUCAAAUUUCUUCACUUUGAAAUUUCUAUCCAUAAAAACAAAAAAUUCCAUUUUUUCAUCUUUAUCUUUUAAAAAUUCUCAAAUUUCUUUCAAAUUCAUUCUCCAAAACAAAAAGAAACUCAUUCUUCAAAAUAAAAAGAAAAACGUACUGACCUACCUCUACAAGCAUUUGCUUUGCACACCAAUAAACAUAAUUAUGUCGCUAACGGAUAUAUCUCUAUAAUUAGUUUUGUCGACCUCUAUGUUCUCUUUAUAUUAUGAUAAUUUUUUCUUCCCUGUUAAAAAUCGGAAUGAUCAGAAAGUUGGAGAAGAUUUUUCCCAAAAGAAAAAAUUUUUAUAAUAUUACAUUUUUUACAGUAAUUUUCAAUUAUUAUGUGACCUAAAUUAUCAAAAUCAAAUAUCAUGCAACACAUUCACUUUCAAAAAAAUAUCUUUUCUUUUAAUUUAGUUUUACUAAAUUAUAAUAAAGACUAUAACCAACGUCUUUAAUAUCAUUAAUCUUCCUCUAUUUUUUUUUUCCUCUUUUUCUUCAACGUUUCAAGAUGAGAAUCAUAUUUUCAAAUCCACAUUUUAUACUACUACAACUUAACGAAAUACAAUAAAAUAAAAUAUAAACAAAAGGUAUGCAUGACUUUCCACUUUAGAAAUUAAUUUUAAGUCUAAAAAAGAAAUAAAGGUGAUUCAAAAGGCAUACCGAAAACUUGACAUAAAAAAAAGGUAGUUGAAAUGAAUAAUCAUCGUUUCAACACGUGUGUAAUUCAUCAUUAUAUUUAAGUUUUAAAAACUCCUAUAAUUAUUAUAAGAUUUGGGUUUUAAACCUGAACUUAACUUCUCCAAAUUGAUUUAAAAGUAUUUUAAAAAAAAUAUUCUUUUGUUAAGAUAAUACAAAGUUCUGAGAUUUUUUCUUAGAAUUUAUGAAUUCAAAGAGCCCUUUGUCUUAAUGAUUUUGCUUCUGACACCAAUAUUUAGUAAUAUCAAUUACGAUAAAUUUCAUAAAUAUUGUAAUGGAAUGACAUUCAAUUAACAUAAUAAAAUAUGUGUUUAUAUAUGGACAAUUAAUAGAAGUUUUGACAGAAUAUCACUCAUGUUAACUGAGAUUAGUAUGAAAGUAACAAUAUAGGAUGCAUCAUAAAAUAAACACAUAAAAGAACCCUUAAAUAUCAAUUUGAUUCUCUAAUUCUGUUUAAUGGAAGAUUAAACACAUAAUAGGUAUGAUUAUACUAGAAAACUUAUUUCACCAGGUACCUUUUUGUUAUUUCAACAUGUAAUUGUUUUAUUAAACUCCCUAAUGACAUGAUAAAUUAAUCCAUUGUUAUUAUUACAUCAGCGUUUGACUUUAUAAUUAACACCUAUACUUAAAGUGGCAAUAGGAAAAACAUUUAGAGUCUUCCAAAAUAAAAUUAAGAUUAACGCUAAAAUCACGAAUAAAACAGAAUUUGUGAGAAAAGAGAUAAUCAACCUAAUUUGAAAUUUGGAAACUUCGUGCUUUUCCUCUUAAUUUGUGGGACAGUAAAAGUUCAAUUUCAUGAACAACACAAGAAAUAUACUAUGCACAAUAAAACAAACCCUUAAAUAAUAUAAAUUUCAAAAUCUCUUUCUGUUUAAUGAAGAUUAGAAAUAGUAGCAGCUAUUUUUACUCAAUGAAUAUAAUUAUACUUGAGAAUAAAGUUAUCAUAUGCAACUCAUGGUUGUCAAUAACCGAGUUCAAUAUUUACUCAUUAACAUAUUCAAUUGAUGGUUUUCCAUAACCCAGUUUUGCAUCUAAAUCACAGUUUUCAAAGUCUUCUUUUGCUUUCACCACGUCUCUUCUUGUUAUUUCAAGAUUUACCUCUGCUUCAAUCAACUCCGUUCUCAGAGUCUUUGUUUUCUCUUCUAAAGAAGUUACCUUCUCUUCCAACCUUUUCACUUCAAGAACUCUCUCAAUACGAGUUUUCAUGCCUAAGGCAGAUUGAACAUGAGGUUUCAACCAUGACAAAUCAAAUCCAAAGGUCUCAAGUUCCUCCCAUAAAGUUUGGAGAUGAUUGCAAGCAUCAUCGUCCAUGUCUCUCACCUUUUUAGUGUUGAGAAAAUAAAGAACUCUACCCAAAGCUGUUAAAGCCCAUUCAAUAAAUAUUUGACUUCUCCGCUUCUUGUUAUUCAGAAGUGAGGGAUAUCGUGAACAAACAUCUUCUAACAGAGGAAUAAAAUCUUUUUCUACUUUUCCUAUGCUCCUAAAAUCCACCGCCUCACCAGAUGAUGAGGUUGAAAUCAUUUCCAUGGAGGAACGAUUCUCAAUGCUUUCAACAAGCUUAUUGUCAAUGUUCCUAUCUGAUACAUCAACUUCUUUCUCAUGCUCUAACAUAUGAACCAAUAUGUGAGCUUCAAUUAUACAAGUAUCAUUUAGAAUGAACCCGCGACUAGAGUCCCAAAAUUCACCCAAAGGUAUGUAAGAAGUGAAUCCCCAGUCACCCUCCUUUGAAUUGAAUUUAUGGCUACUUUCUGACAAAUUCAUACAUCAAAAGUCAGUUGGAUAUCAAGUUUAAAACAAAUUCAUACGAUACUCAAAUAAAUAUAUUGAUAAAAUAUUACAAAGUUUUAUUUGUUUAUGAUGUCUACUUCUUAAGUAAAAUGGUUUCCACUUACAAAUUUCUAACAAACAAUUUGGGAUAAAGUACAUGCGACAAGCAACUAAAGGUUGGAUUUUGAAGUAUAUUAAGGAAAACUUAAGGAUAGAAAAAAGUAAAUGAGAAAAACACAUUGGAAGCUAAAUGAUUCGAUUCUUCCAGGAAAUUAAAAAUCCAAAUGAGAGUCGUGUGAAAUUAUGAAAUUACUGGAAGAACAUUUUCAUUCACCUAAGAAAAUAACAUCCAAAUAUCAAAAUGAGAGAUAAGGGUGAAAUAUACCUCUUAUUAUAUUUCUUUCGUGAUUGAGCUGAUUAAUCAGAAUGAGUUUGAAAGUUGCAUGUUUUUCCCAUCCAUGAGGCAUAGUAUCAACACCAGCAUCCAAAUAUAUUGACAAAAAGUUCACAUUAUUCCCUUUUGGAAAGAUAAGAAGCCUCCUAAAAGGAAAGUUACCAAACUUAAAUGAGAAAAAAAAAAAGGAUGAAAUCGUAUUUACAGUACGCAGUAAUUUAAUCAAGCACCAUGUGUGGCCAUCCAGAGAAAACUUAUCCGAGUACAAUUUCUUGGAGUUUAACAUGGAGAGUUUUGUAAGGGUCCAUGUAAACUUCUGAAACAUCUUAUCCUUUGUAUUCUGAUUCUCCAUUUCAGUAACUUUCGAUCUUCAACCGUCGCUCUGACAAAAACAAAUAAUAUUGAUUUUCAGUUAGGAAGAUCAAAUGAUUCAGUAUCCAUGAGAAACACACAUCAGAUUUCACGAAGAACUUUUGAGAAAAAUUUUGAAAGUUGUUUUUUCAUUAUUGUGUAAUGUAAAUUUUGAGGAUAAUGUAAAAGUCACAAAUUUUAAUUUGUCUAUUUAAUGUAGUCUUUAUGAAAAGUUUAUUCAUUUUCUUGGAUGAAAUAUUAAUAUCACUUUUUUUAACCUAUUUUUAUUUUUUAAAAUAAGUUUAGUCGUGUAUUAAGAUAUAUUCAAUUUUAUAACAAAUAUAAAAAUGAUAAUAUGUAGAUACUAAGAGCAACUUGUCAUUUUAUUGUAACCAUAAUUUCACAAUCUCAUAUUUUUUAAUUAAUGAAAAAAAAUAAGACGAUGGAACAAGAUAAUAGCCAUUCAUGAAAAAAAAAAUUAAAGUACAAAUAUCGAAUUAAAAGACUCGAAACUUAAUUAAAAAAUAUAAAUAUAACACAUGUAAUAAUAAAAGAUAAAGGAUAGUGUAUGAUAAUAAAAUAUUCAUAUAUAUUAUUAAUAUAUGAAUAUUUGAAUCAAUAAAUAUAUUUUAGAUAAGUGAAAGUAUCUUAGAAUAUCUUACAACUACUUUGUGUUAGUAAAAUGGAAUGAACCUCGUUAGAGUGUAUUAUUACAAUAUUUGAUGGGUUAAGUAUAUACAAUAUUUUUUCUAAUUUAUUGAUUUGUAUAUUUAUUUAUAAUAAAUUGCUUUAAUAGAAAUUUAAAACUUUUUAUAAACUAAUGUGAAUAUAGAUUUAAAAAAGGUAUUUAAUUUAAUAUUUAUAAAUGAAUUGGAAAUAUAAUAUUUGAAGAGCCAUUAUAAUAAAUAAGAUUUAUUUGAAGAACGUCUAAUUUGGAUAGAAAUAUUUUGUUUGAACUCAAAUACUAGUAUUGUACGUCAUGUAUCAUAUAAGAAUGUUAAUUUGUAUAGAUUUAUAGAAUAAUUAUGUAACUAUGCUAUCAAAGUCCCUAAUGACAUUAAAAGUGCUAAGAAAAAGGUUUGGAGAGUCUCUCAUAUUAAAAUGGAUUAAAAAUGUUUAUAAUCUUUAAACUGUAAAAUUAAAUUUUGAGCCUAACACCACUUUAACUCUUCAAGGCUGGAAAAAAUGUAUGACAAACAUAUCUUAAUCGAUUGUAUUUUCACUUAUGUAAAUAAGUUAUAUGAAGCACGUGAUAAUAUAAAGACAAAUGUUAAUAAAUACAUUAAGUAAAUGAUAGUUUUGUGGAAAUAUUUUAAUUUUAUGUGAAAUAUGAGAAGAUGUUUCUUGUGUAGUUUAAGAAUUAAAGUAAUAACAAUUUGAAUAUAUACUUAUUUGAAGUCUUUUAAAAUGUAACAGAAAUUACAAUAUCUUCUAAGAGACAAUGAGACUCUCAACUACCAAAAACAAUCCAUAAAUCAUGCUCACAACAUUAUUGUAGUGUGUUAUAACAAUUUUCAUUUAUUAUNUACACUAAAAAUGUCCAUAAUUAUAGAUUUUUUUUUUCUCGAUCAAGAUCACUUUCGAACAUAGAAGUCAAAUUUUCAUCAUGAUUUUUUGUUUUUUAAUUUUGCAAGUUUUUUUUAAGAAUUGAACUUUUAGCAGCAGUUUUGUUCUUACUAGAAUCCAGAAGAUGAACUUUCAAACAAGUGUCAAAAUUUGAAUGGAUUAGAGAAUUAUGUGUGUUAUAUUGAGGUUGGAAUAUAGAAAAAUAUUUAAAAAAUUCUCUAACGCUCAAGUAAAUAAGAAAAUUUAUAUUGAAUGAAAGAAAAUGAGUAUGAAAAAGUGUAUUUCUUGAUGAAAUAUCAUGCAUAUUUGGAGGGUAUAUGAGUCCUACGACUUAUGUGAUAAAUAGACAAUAUUGAAAUGAUAAGUAAUAUCAAAAAAUAACAUCUUACCGGAUAUAUGAUAGUUAGAAUAAUAAUAAGAAUAAUAUUUGUGUGUGUAUGGUUGAGAGAAGAACCGCCUUGAGAAGAAAUAAAAGUUUGGUGUAUUGUGAGUCAAUAAAAAAGAGUACCCAUGAUAAAGAGACAACCAUAAGGGUUGUGUUGGUUGUUUUAAGAGUUUGUAAGAGUGUAAUGUUGUUGAGUUUGAGAGUUAAGGUUGUUAACUUUGUAUAUUUUGGAUUUUUCAGAAAAGUUGUCACUUUCUUACUAUAUUUAAAAAGAAAUAUCUAAUACGAGAAUUUUUCGCCACGCACUUACUAAUCAAUCAUCCCAAAAUUCACUUUUUCUGUAAUUUUGUUUGAUUGAUCUCAAAAUAUCAUAUUACAUUUAAAUCACAAAACAAUAUUACAAAACUGUCUAACUCUCAAUUAAGGGAGUUUAAAUUGAGUAAAAGAAAAUGAGUAUGAAAAAAUGUAGAUGCAGCCCGCCCCAUGUAGCCAUCUGUCCACCAAUAGUCAUCUCCCCCAACAAUUGCCUCUAUAAAAAGAAGAAGAUGAUGAUAAUUCUAAUGAUUAUAAUUUAGGAACUUUUUAAAAUAUUUAUGUAUUGCUUUUUAUUUUCAAACUUAGUUCUUUUAUCUGAUGCUUUAAUAACCAUCAUAUAAUAAUUAUUUAUUUCAAUUAUAUGGAUCUUGAAUGAUUGCAUCUGGUGAAUUGUUCAAUUGAAAAUUAAGUACAUUAAUUGCUUAUUUACUUAUUCAUUGUUAUAGGUAAGCCAUAUUACCAAACUACACUAGAAACUAGGUUGAUCAUUACCGACAACCUUAUCAACGGAUUCAUCCAUUGAUAAUGCAAAACAUAUUUAUUACAUUACCGACGAAUCAUUGCCGUUAGUAAUUACCAACAACCCCAAGUUGUUGAUAAUGUCAUCAUGUUUCACAUUUCAUUACCGACGACCUGUAGUCCUCAGUAAUUUUCGACAAUCAAGAUUUGUUAAUAAUUAUCGAGGGUCAUAGGUUGUUUGUAAUUACUGACAGAUUCUGUCAACAAUAAUUACCAAGGAUCAAGUCGUCAGUAAUUAUCAACAGUCAGUAUCUAUCGAUAAUGUAUUUUGACAAAGUAUUUACUAACGGAUAAUUAGUCAUUAGAAAUCCAUCAAUAAACAUGUAUUACCAACAAAUUUUAAUGUUAUUGAUAGAUUUUGUCGGUUGGUAAUUCCUGUUUUUUUUGUAGUUAUUUGAUCAUUAUUUUUGGUCUCAUGUUAUCAUAUAAGAACUUUAGUUCAUUACAACAAUACUAGUUGUUCUAUGAUUAAUCAUGUCAUCAAAAUGUUUUAAAAAAUAACUACAUAUUUUUUUAUAAAAGAGCGAAACAGUUUACUAAAAAAAUUACAUGUAACUAUGCUAUCAAACUCGCUAAUGACAUAAAUUAAUUCAUAACUAUAGUUAUUAUUACAUUAUCAACGUAUGCUAAAAGUGACAAUGAGAAAAAGGAUUAGAGAUUCUCUCAAAUUAAAAUUAAGACUAAGGGUUUAAUCACAAAUAAAAUAAUUAGAGAGCUAAACAUACUAUUGUUAAAAUUUUGAGUCUGAUCCACACUAAGAACUUGACUUACAUAGAUUGAACUUACAGUGGAUUGGUUCAUCAAUCUACACUCUUUUUUAUUUUAUUAUAAAUGAGAAUAAAGAAGAAAAUGCAUCAAGAAAAAUAUUACGGAUUUAUCCAUUAAGACUUUAAUAGUAUAGAUUUAUAAGGGUUACAAAAAUUAUUAAUGUUAGAUACUUAUUAAUUUUGUUUUUUAUACAUGAUUUUUAGAUUGUAUUUGGAGUUUGAGAUUAAUUUGAAUUGUAUUAUAUUUUUUAUUUUGAAUUGUCUAAAAAAUUUAACAUCUUUUCGAUUUAAGAUUAUAAUUUAAUUUAUAUUUGACAUUAUUGAAAAGAGAAUAUGUAUUAAUAUUUAACAGAUAUCAUGUAUUUUUGUUGUGAUUUAAUUUUCUGAAAACAAAUUAUAUAAAUAAUAUUCGAACAAUAAAGAGACAUAUACGACAUAAGUACAUAUAUUGAAACAAAAAUUUCAUUCUAAAAAAAAAAUUAUUUAAAAAAUAAAGAUAAAAUAGUUAAAAUCAUAGUCGUCCCACCUUGUUAUCAACCCACAUGUACACAUGUUAAAAUCCUCAUUUCACCAAUGAAUAUUAUAUUUGUUUGUCAAAUUAACUCAUUUAAUAAAUUUUGAUCCUAACCCACACGAAUUAGGAUAAUUUUUUUUAUAAAACUAAAAUAAAAAAUUAUUAAAAAAAUCAUAGCUAAAUAUUUACAAAAUCUUAUGAAUGAAAACCAAUUCAUAAAUAUUUUUCUAACCUGUUAACUCUUUUAUUCUUAAAUAAACAAAUAUAAAAUAUAAACUGGAUGACUUUCCACUUCAUAAAUUAAAUUUAAAUCUAAAAAAUAGAAAAGUGACGCAAAAGGCAUACUGAAACAUUUGAAAUAAGAAAGGUAGAUUUACAUAAAAAUUAAAAUGAAUAGUCAGCGUUUCAAAACCUGUGUAAUUAUAUUUAAGUUUUGAAAACUCCUAUAAUUAUUAUAAGAUUUGGGUUUUAAACCUGAACUUUAAACUUCUCCAAAAAUUGAUUAAAAGGCAAAAGUAUUUUAAAUUUGUUUAUUCUUUUGCUAACCUAAUACAAAGAAUUUUUUUUUAGAAUUUAUGAAUUGAAAGUGCCUUUGUCUUAAUCACUUUGCUUCUCGCACUACAACUUACUAAUAUCAUUUUCGACAUAUUUGGUAAUUUGUUAUGAAACCAUAUUCAAGUAACAUAAUAAAAUAAGUGUUUAUAUAUGGACAAUUACUAGAAGUUUUGACAACAUAUCACUCAUGUUAACUGAGAUUAGUGGGACAGAAACAGUUCAAUUUCAUGAACAAAAGAAAUAUACGAUGCAUCAUAAAAUAAACACAAAAAACAACCCUUAAAUAUCAAUUUCAUACUGUGUUUCUUCUUAAUGAAGAUUAAACAAACAAAUAAAUAUAAUUAUACUAGAGAAUAAAGUUAUCAUAUGCAAUUCAUGGUUUUCCAUAUCCUAGUUCAGCAUUCAAAUCACAGUUUUCAAUGCUCUUUUUUGCUUUCACCAAUGUUCUUCUGUUUAUUUCUAGAUUUACCUCUGCUUUAAUCCUCUUUGUUCUCAAAGUCUUUUCUUUCUUCUCUAAAAUAAAGAUAUUCUCCUCCAAAGUUCACUUUCUCUUCCAACCUUUUUAUCGCAAGAACUUUAUCAAGAGAAGUUUUCAUGCCUAAUGCAGAUUGUACAUGAGGUUUCAACCAUGAUAAAUCAAAUUCAAAAGUUUCAAGUUCCUCCCAUAAAGUUUGGAGAUGAUUACAAGCGUUAUAGUCCAUGUUUCUCACCUUUUUAGUGUUUAGAAAAGGUUUAAUCAUUUCUGAUGUCCUUGUUUAUGUAGAGUUGUCUCAAAUAGAGGUCUUCGUAUUUUAAUUAGUCUCAAUUAGGUCCCUAUUUUUAUAAAUUUAACUCAAUUAAAACCUUGUCGUUAAUUAAAAUGAACUGCGUUAAAAUUUGUGUGUCUUGACUUACUGAUUGUGCAAUUUUUAAUGACGUGACUAUCAAUUAUAAUAAUUAGUUUUAAAUUGGAAUAAUUAGCCUUUAUUAGCUAAUUCUUGUAUAUUUACUUUCCCUUUAUUUAAUUUAAAUUAGUGUUAAAUAUCAAUUAUUAUAAUUGAUAUUAUAAUAAUUGAUAUUAAAUUGGUGGAGUUUAUUUUCUUUUAACUCUUUCCAAUUAGGUUAUCAAUUUGUAUAUUUAUACUAUUGUAAUGAUCAAAUAAGAAAUUCAUCAAAAAUACUUUUCUAUAGUGACACUGUGGUUUGCUGACUGGAUGGCAUAAAAAAGGAUACGACGUCGUUUCCUCUUUCUUCAUCGUUCAAAACAUUUUCCAUUCUUUAAGAUAUCAGAAAAUGGAUCUUUAUCUUCUUUGUUUCGAUUCCAACUUUCCAAAUAUAAAACCCACAGAGCUGAAACCCGUUUUUCGUUUUUGAACAAUUCAAAGUCAUAAUACUCCAAAAAUGUUAUCCCCACUAACCUAUCUUGUGAUUGUCGACGAGAAGACUAUGGACCAUGAUUGACUCCACCUCUACCUCGCACUCCUCUUCUAAGAUAAAGGCCUUUGUCGCUUCCGAACUCCCACAACACUAUAAGAAAUAACAAGAAAAGAAAAAAAAUAAAAGAACUUUAAAAAUUGGGAGCAUUAAAUUUAACAAAUCCAACGAAAACAAAAAUGGUGAUGCUCUUUGGCAAAAAGAGGCUAGAUCCAAGAAUUAAUUAUAAAAGAGCAUUAAAACCCACUAGCACAACAAAUGUAGUGAACGUGUCCUUAGGUAAAGGUUUAUCAACAUGUUUCGUAGGUUUAUCCUUAAUCUUGUGUGUUUGAUCUACUUGAUUAUAUUUCAACUUAUCAAUCUAUUUAAAUCUAUUGUUAGGCUUAUAAAGUUCAUAUAAAGAUAUGAAUUGUACAAAAUUCUAAACAAUUAUUUUAAAAUAAUAAUAAAUAUUUAUAUUCAUUUGAUACAUAUUACGAUUAUAAAAAAAGUAUACUUUUAUAUUUAAAAGAAUAAAAGAAAAAUAAUAUAAAACGAAUGUAAAAAAAUUAUAUGUAUUAAAAUAUUAUUUUUCAUCUCUUUAAUAUGAUAAGUGUUUGUUUCCUGAAAAAAGAAACAUACUAAAACACACUCAAUCACUACAAGAAAGAGAUUUUAUAUGCAUUUGGGCCUGAAAUGCUAUCAAUAUCACUAACAGAUCUUUUAUCUAUAAUUAAUUUGGUCUACCUCUACUAUUAAUGUAUAGUAAAAGUUCAAGUUAAUAUACUAUGCAUUAUUAAAUAAAUACAAAUACAUUGAUUCUAUUAAGGAAGAUUAAUCACAUAGUAGCAUCUAUUCAACACAAUAGAUAUAAUAUACUCCAUAACAAAAUUAUCAUAGCAAAUCAGGUCAAACAUGUCCAACAUAAAAAAUCAUAUCGAUGAUUAGAAGAACAUCUAAAUGUUGAUAAACUUAAAAAGAAAACAUGUCCACUACAAUAAAUUAUUGGGCAAACAACUUAAUCAUGAAUUAUUGUUUACCAUAUGUGAGUUGAGCAUCCAAAUCAUAUUCUUCAAAGCCUACUUUUGUUUGAACCAUGUCUCUUCUUGUUAUUUCUAAAUUUACCUUUGCUUCAAUCAUCUUUGUCGUCAAAUUCUUUAUUUCUUUCUCUAAAACAGCCACAUCAUUCUCCAAAGUAAUAACAUUCUCCUCCAAUCUUUUCAUAGUAAGAACUUUCUCAACACAAGUUUUCAUAUCCAAUGCAGAUUGUACAUGAGGUUUCAGCCAUGACAAAUCAAAUCCAUNUAUCAACAUGUUUCGUAGGUUUAUCCUUAAUCUUGUGUGUUUGAUCUACUUGAUUAUAUUUCAACUUAUCAAUCUAUUUAAAUCUAUUGUUAGGCUUAUAAAGUUCAUAUAAAGAUAUGAAUUGUACAAAAUUCUAAACAAUUAUUUUAAAAUAAUAAUAAAUAUUUAUAUUCAUUUCAUACAUAUAUAACUUUCAUAAAGGAAACUUAUAUAUUUAAAAAAAUAAAAUAAAAAAUAAAGAAAAGAAAUGUAAAAUGAAUGUAAAAAAAUUAUAUGUAUUAAAAUAUUUCCUAAAAAAAGAAACAUACCAAAACUCACUCAAUCACUACAUGGAGGAGAUUUUAUAUGCAUUUGGGCCUGAAAUGCUAUCAAUAUCAUUAACAGAUCUUUUAUCUAUAAUUACUUUGGACUACCUCUAGAAUUAAUGUAUAGUAAAAGUUCAAGUUAAUAUACUAUGCAUCAUUAAAUAAAUACAUAAAUGAACCAUUAAAUAUCAAUUUCAUACUCUGGUUAUAUUAUGGAAGAUUAAUCACAAAGUAGCAUGUAUUCAACACAAUAAAUAUAAUAUACUCAAUAACAAAAUUAUCAUAGCAAUUCAGGUCGAACAUGUUCAACAUAAAAAAAUCAUAUCGAUGAUUAGAAGAACAUCUAAAUGUUGAUAAACUUAACAAGAAAACAUGUCCACUACAAUAAAUUAAUCGGCAAAAACCUUAAUCAUGAAUUAUGGUUUACCAUAUAUGAGUUGAGCAUCCGAGUCAUAUUCUUCAAAGACUUCUUUUGCUUGAACCAAGUCUCUUCUUGUUAUUUCUAUAUUUACCUUUGCUUCAAUCAUCUUCAUCGUCAAAUUCUUUAUUUCUUUCUCUAAAACAUCCACAUCAUUCUCUAAAGUACUUUGGACUACCUCUACAGUUAAUGUAUAGUAAAAGUUCAAGUUAGUAUACUAUAAAUCAUUAAAUAAAUACAUAAAUAUACCCUUAGAUAUCAAUUUCAUACUCUGGUUCUAUUAAGGAAGAUUAAUCACAUAGUAGCCUCUAUUCAACACACUAAAUAUAAUAUACUCCAUAACAAAAUUAUCAUAGCAAAUCAAGUCAAACAUCAUAAAAAAAUCAUAUCGAUGAUUAGAAGAACAUUUAAAUGUUGAUAAACUUAAGAAGAAAACAUGUCCACUACAAUCACGGGUGAGCAAAUCGUACUGUACUGCACUGCUAAAAACUGAACUGUAAAACAGUUCAGACAAACUGAACUGUAAAAUAGUUCAGACAAACUGAACUGAACUAUAUUUUGUUUUAUCAAACUGAACCGUACUGAGUUGUAUUGUACUGCAGUAUGAACUGAACUAUUAACUGAACUGUAAACUGAACUAAACUAUUAACUGAAUUGUAAAUUACACUAACUGAACUUAACUAAAUUGUAAACUACACUAAUUUUAACUAAACUACAAUAUAAAUUGAACUGAACUAGUAACUAUACUAAUUUUAAAUUGAAUUGUACUAAUUUUUAAACUAAAUAGUAUAACAAUACAUNUUCUUUUUAAUUGAAAUUUAUUUUAAUAUUUAUUUUAUUUUAUUCAUAAAUGUCUAAUAAAUUAAUUUUUAAUUAUUUAAUAUUAUUAUUUUCUAUUUUAUUUAUAUUUCUUUUAUUAUUAAAAUUUAUUUUAUUAUUAAUUUAUUUUAUUAAUAAAAAAAUAUAAAUAUAUAUAUAUAUAUAUAUAUAUAUAUAUAUAUAUAUAUAUAUAUAUAUUUAUAUAUAUAUAUAUAUAUAUAUAUAUAACUUAAAAAAUAUAAAAAUAUAAAUUACAUUUUUUAUUUUUAUUGAUAAAAAUAUAAAUUUUGUGAUAAAAAAGUUGUUUUAAAAAAUUAAUUAUUUUUUUUUAUGUGAACAGUUAUUUUAAUUAAUAUUUUAUUAUUAAAUAAAGUUUUUUUGACAAGAUGAAACAAUUGAACUGAAAUUAGAGAAGAGUUCUCACAGUUAAAUGCAGUACAGUACAAAUCAGUUAUUUUUACCCAGUCCUAACUACAAUUAAUUAUUCGGCAAAAACCUUAAUCAUGAAUUAUGGUUUAUCAUAUAUGAGUUGAGCAUCCAAAUCACAUUCUUCCAAGCCUUCUUUUUCUUGAACCAAGUCUCUUCUUGUUAUUUCUAGAUUUAACUUUGCUUCAAUCAUCUUUUUCGUCAAAUUCUUUAUUUCUUUCUCUAAAACAGCCACAUCAUUCUCCAAAGUAGUCACAUUCUCCUCGAAUCUUUUGAUAAUAAGAACUUUCUCAACACAAGUUUUCAUAUCCAACGCAGAUUGUACAUGAGGUUUCAGCCAUGACAAAUCAAAUCCAAAUAUUUCUAAUUCCUCCCAUAAAGUUUGGAGAUAAUUGUAAGCAUCAUCGUCCAUAUUUCUCCCUUUUUUAAUGUUGACAAAAUAAAGAACUCUACCAAGUGCUGUAAAAGCCCAUUCAUUAAUUUUUUUACUAUUCUUCUUCUUGCUAUCAAGAAGUGAAGGAUAUCGUGAACAAACUUCUUUCAACAGAGGAAUAAAAUCCACGAUCUCAUCAGUUGAGUUUGAGAUCAUUUUCUUGGUUGAAAAAUUCUCCUCCUUGUUUUGGACAAGCUUAUUAUCAAUGCUCCUCAAUGAUUCACCUUGUUUCUCAUGAUCUGACUUAUGAACCGAUAUAUGAAGUUCAACUAUACAAAUAUCAUUCACGAUGAACCCAUCAGUAGAGGUGUAAAUUAUACACGAAUGGUCAUUCCUUGAAGGUGUGACUAAUUCCUGACAAAUUCAUACACCAAGAAGAGUGAGUUGUGUAUCGAGUUUAAAACAAAAUAAUAUGAUUAUCAUAAGUCUAAUUGUGAAAUUUACCUUCUAUUAUAUUCCUAGUGGGGUUUAGCUGAUUAAUCAGAAUGAAUUUUAAAUUUGCAAAUUUUUCACAUCGACGAGGCCAACCACUAACAGAAUCCAAAAUAAUUGCCAAAUACAACUUCUCUGUUGCAGCUCGAAUGAUACGAAUCGCCCUAAAGACAAAGAAACCAAAUUAAUGAGAAAACAGAUAAAAUCAUAAGAAAGAGCAACAUGUAGAUUAUGUAUAAUAAUUCAAUCAAGAACCAUGUAUGGCCAUCGACAAUAAACGUUUUCAAAUAUUCUUUGUGGCAAACGUUUGACGAGAAGUUUGUAAGGGUCCAGGUAAACUUCUGAAACACUUUAUACUUUGUAUUCUGAUUCUCCAUUGCAGAAACUUGUAAGCUUCAACCGUAGCACUGACAAAAGCAAACAAUAUUGGUUUUCACUUAAGAAGAUCAAACGAUUGGGUAUCUAUGGGAAACGAACAUCUACGAUGGUUGAGUUCACAAAGAACUUCCAUAAUAUCACACUUACAAAAUUUUUAUAAACUUUUCAGAUGUGUUUUGAAAGUUGAUGUACAUUUAUACAUAUGAAAAUUUAAGUAAUAUUGGAUUACGUAUUAAAAAAUGAUUGGAAGUUGUUUUUACAUUAUUUAAUUCUGUUUUCCAAUAUGCUGGAAAUUAAACCACAACAAGAUAACUGUAAAAGUCACAGAUUUUAAUAACUCUACUCAAUGUAGUCUUCCAGAAAAGUUUAUUCAUUUUAUUGGAUGAAAUAUUAAAAUCACACUUUUUUAACCUAUUCUUAUUUUUGAAAAUAAGUGUAGUCGUGUAUUAAGAUAUACUGUAAUAAGAUAGAAUUUUGUAACAAAAAUAAUAUAAUAUUAUAAUUAAGGUAAACAAUUAGAAUCAAUUAUCAUUGUACUGUAACCUUAUAUAUUAACUAUAAAAUUUCAUGAUCUCAUAUUUUUUAAUCAAUGAAAAGAAAUAAGAUUAUGGUAAAAGAUAAUAGUCAUGUUAUUUAUAAAAAAAUUAAAGUACAAAUAUUUAAUUNNNNNNNNNNNNNNNNNNNNNNNNNNNNNNNNNNNNNNNNNNNNNNNNNNNNNNNNNNNNNNNNNNNNNNNNNNNNNNNNNNNNNNNNNNNNNNNNNNNNNNNNNNNNNNNNNNNNNNNNNNNNNNNNNNNNNNNNNNNNNNNNNNNNNNNNNNNNNNNNNNNNNNNNNNNNNNNNNNNNNNNNNNNNNNNNNNNNNNNNNNNNNNNNNNNNNNNNNNNNNNNNNNNNNNNNNNNNNNNNNNNNNNNNNNNNNNNNNNNNNNNNNNNNNNNNNNNNNNNNNNNNNNNNNNNNNNNNNNNNNNNNNNNNNNNNNNNNNNNNNNNNNNNNNNNNNNNNNNNNNNNNNNNNNNNNNNNNNNNNNNNNNNNNNNNNNNNNNNNNNNNNNNNNNNNNNNNNNNNNNNNNNNNNNNNNNNNNNNNNNNNNNNNNNNNNNNNNNNNNNNNNNNNNNNNNNNNNNNNNNNNNNNNNNNNNNNNNNNNNNNNNNNNNNNNNNNNNNNNNACCUUGGCCACUGAUGAUGGAAGAACCCCAGAUGCUCUCUCCACGUACAAGCAAUCGUUACCAGAUGUCUAACAAAAUGUUUGAACAACUAAGAAUACAUUUCAAAAAUGUUUGGACAACACAGGAAAAACAUUAGUACCUUAGGGUUACAGAUUUGCUUCUUUUUUCUAGCUAAAGAUAAGUGUUCUCAAAAUCUUCGUAGGUGGUGGUAGAACCUCGGCGACGCAGAGUGCGGCAAAGCCUUCGAUAGCGGCGAGACUUCGACAGCAGCGAGCCUUCGACGACGGUGAACCUUCGACAGCAGAGAACCUUCAACAGUGGUAGCCUCGGCAGCAGUUUUAAACAGCGGUAACCUUCAACAACAGCAGCGAGUGAGUGGGAUGAAUGGGAUGUAAGGCAGAAAGCAAAUGAAGCUGUGAUUGGGAAAGCAGAUAUAAACCUAAACUUUGGUUAAAGACGCAGCACACUCCUAGGGUUCCACCAGCUCACCACCGAACGCCGACAGGGAAGCACACUGCUCAGACGAUGGAAGGUUAAAGACGCAGCACAGACAGAACAGAAACACACAGAAUAAUACUUCUCAGAUUUUCAUUAGCUUUCAAAAUAUGUUUUACA
rnacentral:lncRNA from 1 species